ensembl:ncRNA F46C8.13 ncRNA
AAAAAGCCAGGUCAUUGCGUAUUCGAAAAUACUCGAGUUGAAAAUGAGAGCUAUCCAAUCUCAUUCAUAU